rnacentral:rRNA from 1 species
GAUGAACGCUGGCGGCGUGCCUAAUACAUGCAAGUCGAGCGAACAGAUAAUGAGCUUGCUCCUUUUACGUUAGCGGCGGACGGGUGAGUAACACGUGGAUAACCUACCUAUAAGACUGGUAUAACUUCGGGAAACCGGAGCUAAUACCGGAUAACAUAUUGAACCGCAUGGUUCAAUAGUGAAAGUCGGCGUUGCUGUCACUUAUAGAUGCAUCCGCGCCGUAUUAGCUGGUUGGUAAGGUAACGGCUUACCAAGGCAACGAUACGUAGCCGACCUGAGAGGGUGAUCGGCCACACUGGAACUGAGACAGGGUCCAGACUCCUACGGGAGGCAGCAGUAGGGAAUCUUCCGCAAUGGGCGAAAGCAUGACGGAGCAACGCCGCGUGAGUGAUGAAGGUCUUCGGAUCGUAAAACUCUGUUAUCAGGGAAGAACAAAUGUGUAAGUAACUGUGCACAUCUUGACGGUACCUGAUCAGAAAGCCACGGCUAACUACGUG